GCCCAGAUGACUCCCAGUGGUCUAGGGUGCAGGCUUCAAACCUGUAGUUGUCUAAGGACAGAGUGCUUCAGUUCCACUUGAUGGGCA